GACGAACGCUGGCGGCACGCUUAACACAUGCAAGUCGAACGAGAGAAGAGAAGCUUGCUUUUCUGAUCUAGUGGCGGACGGGUGAGUAACACGUGAGCAAUCUGCCUUUCAGAGGGGGAUACCGAUUGGAAACGAUCGUUAAUACCGCAUAAUAUAAUUGAACCGCAUGAUUUGAUUAUCAAAGAUUUAUCGCUGAAAGAUGAGCUCGCGUCUGAUUAGCUAGUUGGUAAGGUAACGGCUUACCAAGGCGACGAUCAGUAGCCGGACUGAGAGGUUGAUCGGCCACAUUGGGACUGAGACACGGCCCAGACUCCUACGGGAGGCAGCAGUGGGGAAUAUUGCACAAUGGAGGAAACUCUGAUGCAGCGAUGCCGCGUGAGGGAAGAAGGUUUUAGGAUUGUAAACCUCUGUCUUCAGGGACGAAAAAAGACGGUACCUGAGGAGGAAGCUCCGGCUAACUACGUGCCAGCAGCCGCGGUAAUACGUAGGGAGCGAGCGUUGUCCGGAAUUACUGGGUGUAAAGGGAGCGUAGGCGGGACCGCAAGUCAGAUGUGAAAACUAUGGGCUUAACCCAUAAACUGCAUUUGAAACUGUGGUUCUUGAGUGAAGUAGAGGUAAGCGGAAUUCCUAGUGUAGCGGUGAAAUGCGUAGAUAUUAGGAGGAACAUCAGUGGCGAAGGCGGCUUACUGGGCUUUAACUGACGCUGAGGCUCGAAAGCGUGGGGAGCAAACAGGAUUAGAUACCCUGGUAGUCCACGCCGUAAACGAUGAUUACUAGGUGUGGGGGGACUGACCCCUUCCGUGCCGCAGCAAACGCAAUAAGUAAUCCACCUGGGGAGUACGACCGCAAGGUUGAAACUCAAAGGAAUUGACGGGGGCCCGCACAAGCAGUGGAGUAUGUGGAUUAAUUCGAAGCAACGCGAAGAACCUUACCAGGUCUUGACAUCGUAUGCAUAGCUCAGAGAUGAGUGAAAUCUCUUCGGAGACAUAUAGACAGGUGGUGCAUGGUUGUCGUCAGCUCGUGUCGUGAGAUGUUGGGUUAAGUCCCGCAACGAGCGCAACCCUUACUGUUAGUUGCUACGCAAGAGCACUCUAGCAGGACUGCCGUUGACAAAACGGAGGAAGGUGGGGAUGACGUCAAAUCAUCAUGCCCCUUAUGACCUGGGCCUCACACGUACUACAAUGGCUGUCAACAGAGGGAAGCAAAGCCGCGAGGUGGAGCGAACCCCUAAAAGCAGUCUUAGUUCGGAUUGUAGGCUGCAACCCGCCUACAUGAAGUCGGAAUUGCUAGUAAUCGCAGAUCAGCAUGCUGCGGUGAAUACGUUCCCGGGCCUUGUACACACCGCCCGUCACGCCAUGGGAGUCGGUAACACCCGAAGCCUGUAGUCUAACCGCAAGGAGGACGCAGUCGAAGGUGGGAUUGAUGACUGGGGUG
rnacentral:rRNA from 1 species